AGUUGUAUCCUGGCUCAGGACGAACGCUGGCGGCGUGCCUAAUACAUGCAAGUCGAGCGGAGAUAUGGGAGCUUGCUCCUAUAUCUCAGCGGCGGACGGGUGAGUAACACGUGGGCAACCUGCCCUGCAGACUGGGAUAACUCCGGGAAACCGGAGCUAAUACCGGGUAAUACAUAGCAUCGCAUGAUGCAACGUUGAAAGUUGGCUUUCGAGCUAACACUGCAGGAUGGGCCCGCGGCGCAUUAGCUAGUUGGUAAGGUAACGGCUUACCAAGGCCACGAUGCGUAGCCGACCUGAGAGGGUGAUCGGCCACACUGGGACUGAGACACGGCCCAGACUCCUACGGGAGGCAGCAGUAGGGAAUCUUCCGCAAUGGACGAAAGUCUGACGGAGCAACGCCGCGUGAGUGACGAAGGCCUUCGGGUCGUAAAGCUCUGUUGUUAGGGAAGAACAAGUACCGUUCGAAUAGGGCGGUACCUUGACGGUACCUAACCAGAAAGCCACGGCUAACUACGUGCCAGCAGCCGCGGUAAUACGUAGGUGGCAAGCGUUGUCCGGAAUUAUUGGGCGUAAAGCGCGCGCAGGCGGUCUCUUAAGUCUGAUGUGAAAGCCCACGGCUCAACCGUGGAGGGCCAUUGGAAACUGGGGGACUUGAGUGCAGAAGAGGAGAGUGGAAUUCCACGUGUAGCGGUGAAAUGCGUAGAUAUGUGAAGGAACACCAGUGGCGAAGGCGGCUCUCUGGUCUGUAACUGACGCUGANGCGCGAAAGCGUGGGGAGCGAACAGGAUUAGAUACCCCUGGUAGUCCACGCCGUAAACGAUGAGUGCUAGGUGUUGGGGGGCUUCCACCCUCAUGCUGAAGUUAACACAUU
rnacentral:rRNA from 1 species